rnacentral:rRNA from 1 species
GAUGAACGCUGGCGGCGUGCCUAAUACAUGCAAGUCGAGCGAACGGACGAGAAGCUUGCUUCUCUGAUGUUAGCGGCGGACGGGUGAGUAGCACGUGGAUAACCUACCUAUAAGACUGGGAUAACUUCGGGAAACCGGAGCUAAUACCGGAAAAUAUUUUGAACCGCAUGGUUCAAAAGUGAAAGACGGUCUUGCUGUCACUUAUAGAUGGAUCCGCGCUGCAUUAGCUAGUUGGUAAGGUAACGGCUUACCAAGGCAACGAUGCAUAACCGACCUGAGAGGGUGAUCGGCCACACUGGAACUGAGACACGGUCCAGACUCCUACGGGAGGCAGCAGUAGGGAAUCUUCCGCAAUGGGCGAAAGCCUGACGGAGCAACGCCGCGUGAGUGAUGAAGGUCUUCGGAUCGUAAAACUCUGUUAUUAGGGAAGAACAUAUGUGUAAGUAACUGUGCACAUCUUGACGGUACCUAAUCAGAAAGCCACGGCUAACUACGUG